ensembl:lncRNA
UGAUGAUAAACUGAAGUGAGACGAGAAUUAAUAUUUUUUAUUUCAGAUGAGCUUGGUAGAACACAAAUGGAACCAGAACCACAGGAGGUAAUAAGUGAGUCUUAAUUGUUAAAAAGACCAAAUGAAAAUAAAAUGUUAUAGUCACAGUUCCUGCCUCAAUGUGUCCAUGAUGAAAUGCAUUAGCAUGUUUAAUAACCAUGUUUCUGAACUCUCCAUCGGGACCAGAAACACGUGCAGGUUUGGCUGCUGCUUUAAAUGCUUCUUCAGAUGAAGAAAACGCCGCAGAUGACAGUAUGGAGGAGGUUCAGAGUAGGUCCUGAACAGACACUAAUACACACACUAACAGUGUUUCUACACUUCUGUCUCUCUUAGAAAUGGAUGCUGCUUCAAACGCUUGUUCAGAGGUUUUUCAGGUCUGUUUCAUUAAUGGAUCUUCUGUGUGUCUAUCUGCUGAAGGGUCUUCAUGAAACUCAAAGUCUUUGUGAAGCUAAAGAGACUCCAGCAGCAGCUCCUACAGCAGCUCGAGGGGCAAUGGGCUCUAAAAUCAUCCCUCUGCCUGAUUUUGCCUUGGAGAGAGAAGACACCCAUCAGAACACUGUUACCCAGAAUGCACUGCUGUUAUCACUGCCAGGUAAGAUUAACAUUUUCCCUUUCAUAUUUCAUUGUUAUGAAACAUAAGUUCUCAAAUGAGUUAUAUUUUCAAUAUUUGUGGUGAUUUGAAAGAUUCUACAGAUCCAAGAACAUUUCACUGUUAAACAGUAAUAUUUCAGUUAAUUUUAACUUAAGAUCAACAUAUUAUGCUUUCAAUUAUUUACACUUUAAAUUUAGUUUACUGUUAAGUUUGGUGUUUUGUUUUGUUGUUGUUGUUGUUGUUGUUGUUGUUGUUGUUUUAUCUAGAACCAGAGGCGAAACUUUCCUGUUUUAAAUGACAAGUGAACACUCUUGUUUUUUAUUCUGCUUUAGACAAAAAGGAUUCCAAUGACUCCAGAUCAAAAUUUCUAUGAGGAAUCAGAUCUAUCUCUAUUUCAUCAUCAAUUGCAGCUUUUUGAGAUCAAAUUAAUCCAAGAUAACUCACGGUGUAAUGAAUGAGGCUAGUUUCCAUUCAUCCCUUACCAAGCGUUUCUUCCAUUGCCUGUUUCUUUGCCUUCAUGUUAUAACUGUGACCACUGUGUCUGUUUUACUUCAUUUUCCUAGUUGAACUGAACUGUUGAUUACAUUGUCUGCUUCCACAAUUAAGUCUCAGCCUUGUGUUUUGGAGCUUUUAUCUAGGGAACAUAUUGAUCCUAUAUUGAGUGCUUAUUGUAACCAGCAGAGGGCAGCAUGAAUGCAAAUAAAGGAUGUUUUUCGCUGUUGUUACUUUCUCUUCGUCAUGUAGAUGUGAUGAGAGUUUCUCAUCUCAACAGCAGACCGCAACUGCAGUAAAUGAUUCUGCUAAACAUCUGCGAAUGUGUGUUAUACCAAAGUAAAUCUAAAUUC